rnacentral:rRNA from 1 species
UACAGAGGGUGCGAGCGUUUGUCCGGAAUCACUGGGCGUAAAGGGCGCGUAGGUGGCGGGCCAAGUCUGUGGUGAAAGCUCGAUGCUCAACAUCGAGUCGGCCACGGGAUACUGGUUCGCUGGAGCACUGUAGAGGCAGAUGGAAUUCCGGGUGUAGCGGUGGAAGUGCGUAGAGAGUCCGGAGGAACACCAAUGGCGAAGGCAGCACUCUGGGACGUGACUGACGCUGAGACGGCGAAAAGCGUGGGGAGCAAACAGG